AGCGUGUGGCUCACCGCCGUCAACAGUAAUGGCGGGGGAGACGCCACCCAGGAGGUCACUGCCAGAACCUUCUCAGACGUGCCCUCAAAGGAGCCUCAGAAUGUGAGCGUUGAGGCUGCCAGCUCAAGGAGCCUCAUCAUCUGCUGGGAGCCUCCGCUGGCCGAGCACCAGAAUGGGAUCAUCACCAGCUGCAAGAUCCGCUACAAAGAGCGCGGCGAGUCAGGUUCCUCCAAGACCAAAGCCACAGACGGAAACAGACGACUCUUUGCCCUCAAGAAAAGCACCACAUACUCCAUAAA